AGGUUCACCAAUUUGUGAAAAACUGCAUCCACAAAUUGUGCAACAAUAAUGUUACUCAAAAUAAAAUUGUGAAGACUUUGAAUAUCUCAUCAUUUGCAGUACAUAAUAUCAUCAAAAGAUUCAGAGAAUCUCUGCACAAGGGACAAGGGUGAAAAUCAGAUCUUCAGGCCCUCGGGCAGCACUGCAUUAGAAACAGCAAUGCUUCUGUAAUGGAGAUCACUAAAUGGGCUCAGAAAUCACUGUCUAUGAACAAGGUCCACGAAUGCAGGUUAAAGCGCUGUCAAACACAGAAGAAGUUAUAUGUGGACAUGAUCCAGAAAUGCUGUUGUCUUGUCUGAGCCAAAGCUCAUUAAAAAUAGAGAAGGUAAAAGCAGAGAGACCAGCUUUUCAUCAGCGUUUGACACAUGGAUCAUAAAUCACUCUUGAGUUCAACAGGAUUGUUGGAGAAGACUUCGAGGAAUCCAGCAGAACUUCAAACGCAGAGAACCAUAGUAGCAUUUGAAGCCUUUCACUUACACAAUAAAUCUGUUAGUAUUUUUU